rnacentral:rRNA from 1 species
CAGUAGCACGGGAAUACGAACCGUGCAAACGUUACUCGGAAUCACUGGGCUUAAAGCGCACGUAGGCGGCGACAUAAGUUAGAGGUGAAAUCCCAUCGGCUCAACCGUGGAACUGCCUCUAAUACUGUGUUGCUUGAGGGAGAACGGGGCAUUCGGAACUUCCGGUGGAGCGGUGAAAUGUGUUGAUAUCGGAAGGAACGCCGGUGGCGAAAGCGGAAUGCUGGGUCUCUUCUGACGCUGAGGUGCGAAAGCUAGGGUAGCGAACGGGAUUAGAUACCCCCGUAGUCCCUGUCUCUUAUAC